CUGCACUGGCUUGCAGGAAUCCCAGGGGCCAGUCCCAUUUUCACUCAGUGCAGUCGGGUUUGCCGACCCCUAGCAGGUCACAGAGGAGGUUGCACAACCAUCCUGCUGUCGUUUGACCCUGAAUGAUUUCCUGUUUCCCCCAUUAGGCUCCAAAUCAGAGCUUGUGUCAUCCACAGGAACUUGGAGGCUUCCAGGAAAAGUGAGCUUUAUCAUCAAGUAGAAGUUACAAGAACUGACCAAUAUCUGAGCAAUACUGUGGUUACUCUACCAAAUGAAUAAGCUAUUCAAGCCUGCCACAAGAGCUGUAAGAGACUGGCCCUAGAUAUCCGUCAGCAUCAGCACCACAGCUUCCUCAGCAGAUGUCCCCAGAAUCAUCACUGGGGUCAUGGCCAAGAAUAAUACUGAGAGGGAGACAGUGCUUGUCCAGCUUAAGGACUUGUUCUCCACCCACUAUUCUGGAAUAGGACCGUCCACACAUGGAGUUAAUCAGGGGAAGUGGGAUAAAUCCUUUGCCUACAACUAACACAGCUACAGCCUGUGCACCUCUUUCCCAGAGAUUGGCUGCAGGAUAGCUCCUCAGAGAAGGCCA